UCUAAAAUUCUCACCAAAUCAGCCGUAGAAAAAGAGGCACAAUUCCAAGUCAAAAUUCCCUUCAAAAAUGCUGCACCGUCCUCUCACAAAUUUGUAUAUAUACAGAGAUUCAUUUACAACCCUACAACCCCUUCAAAGAGAAAAACCACAGAGAGAGAGAGAGCUGAAACAUAUAAACAUGGAAUUUAAAGGAAGGUUUAUUCAUGUUUUUGCAACCAUAAUGUUACUGAUGAUAAUGAGUUCACAGCUGAUGAGUCAUGUCGAUUGCAGAGCCCUUCGGUCGAGGCCAGAAGCCGGGGUUUCCCUCUCUCUUGCUAGUAAGCACUUACCAGAGGAAGUUUCAAGUAGCAGUAGUACACGGAGAUCAGUAAGAGGUUUGGCCUUCACUUUGGCUUCUGGGCCAAGCAGGAAAGGUCCUGGACAUUAAACUUUUGUAUUUAGAUACUCCUGUUUUAUUAACGCAGGGAUUUCAUCAAUUUUCUUGGAAUUCUCUCUCUUUUAAAAAGGGUUAGAAUUAGAUCACAUACUUGUCAUGUAAACACGAGUUCUACUUAUUGAAAUGUCAAUUACAGUAUAUUCUUGAUUUUGUCCAUUCUUAUUUUUUAUUUGUUGAAUUUCACAUAGUUAUA
rnacentral:lncRNA from 1 species